CGCGGGGUGGGGCAGUCAGGUAGCCCGUCGGGCUCAUAACCCGAAGGUCGCAGGUUCGAAUCCUGCCCCCGCUA
rnacentral:tRNA from 1 species